CCCUUAGAUGUUCUGGGCUGCACGCGCGCUACACUGAAGCUAUCAACACGUUUUCCCUCCCUGAGAAGGGCGGGUAACCUUUUGAAUCAGCUUCGUGGUAGGGAUCGGGGCUUGCAAUUGUUCCCCGUGAACCAGGAAUUCCUAGUAGACGCGAGUCAUAAGCUCGCAUCGAUUAAGUCCCUGCCCUUUGUACACACCGCCCGUCGCUACUACCGAUUGAACGUUUUAGUGAGGCAGUUGGACCGACGCAUCUCAGUUUAACCGCUGGUUUGUGUUGGAAAGACUUCCAAACUUGAGCGUUUAGAGGAAGUAAAAGUCGUAACA
rnacentral:rRNA from 1 species